CAAUAGCGUAUAUUAAAGUUGUUGCGGUUAAAAAGCUCGUAGUUGGAUCUCGGCAAGCAGGGGCCGGUUCGCUCCAUAGCGUUACUGGCCCAUUUGCUUGUGUGAUUGGCGGAGGUUUCGGGGUGCUCUUUACUGAGUGUCCCGGGGCGCCGUCAGGUUUACUUUGAAAAAAUUAGAGUGCUCAAAGCAAGCUUUUCACGCUUGAAUAUUCGUGCAUGGAAUAAUAGAAUAGGAACUCGUUUCUAUUUUGUUGGUUUUCGGAAAUCGAGUUAAUGAUUAAUAGGGACAAUUGGGGGCAUUAGUAUUCAGGCGACAGAGGUGAAAUUCUUGGACCGUCUGAAGACUAACUACUGCGAAAGCAUUUGCCAAGAGUGUUUUCAUUAAUCAAGAACGAAAGUUAGAGGUUCAAAGACGAUUAGAUACCGU
rnacentral:rRNA from 1 species